AUUGAACGCUGGCGGCAGGCUUAACACAUGCAAGUCGAGCGGGGUGAUGGUGCUUGCACUAUCACUUAGCGGCGGACGGGUGAGUAAUGCUUAGGAAUCUGCCUAUUAGUGAGGGACAACAUCUCGAAAGGGAUGCUAAUACCGCAUACGUCCUACGGGAGAAAGCAGGGGAUCACUUGUGACCUUGCGCUAAUAGAUGAGCCUAAGUCGGAUUAGCUAGUUGGUGGGGUAAAGGCCUACCAAGGCGACGAUCUGUAGCGGGUCUGAGAGGAUGACCCGCCACACGGGGACUGAGACACGGCCCAGAUUCCUACGGGAGGCAGCAGUGGGGAAUAUUGGACAAUGGGGGGAACCCUGAUCCAGCCAUGCCGCGUGUGUGAAGAAGGCCUUAUGGUUGUAAAGCACUUUAAGCGAGGAGGAGGCUCUUUUGGUUAAUACCCAAGAUGAGUGGACGUUACUCGCAGAAUAAGCACCGGCUAACUCUGUGCCAGCAGCCGCCGUAA
rnacentral:rRNA from 1 species